rnacentral:tRNA from 1 species
AAGAAUUUAGUUUAAUUUUAAAAUAUUAGAUUGUAAAUCUAAAGUUUAUUAUUCUUGA